rnacentral:rRNA from 1 species
UACGGAGGGUGCUAGCGUUGUUCGGAAUUACUGGGCGUAAAGGGCGCGUAGGCGGCGUCAUAAGUCAGGCGUGAAAGGCCCGGGCUCAACCCGGGAACUGCGCUUGAUACUGCGGCGAUCGAGUCCGGGAGAGGAUGGCGGAAUUCCCAGUGUAGAGGUGAAAUUCAUAGAUAUUGGGAAGUACACCGGUGGCGAAGGCGGCCAUCUUGACCGGUACUGACGCUGAUGCGCGAAAGCGUGGGGAGCAAACAGG